AGCAGAUGCAUAUAUGGGUGGGACUCCAUUUCCCUUGACCCACUGCACCAGAGGCAUCUCUCUUCUCCUUUCUCCGCAUGCCUCCCAUGACUGGACUGGAGUGCACCCUGAAGAGACCAUGUUGGGUAGGCAGAUCAUGAUCGAUGAGUGGCACAAACUUGGCCCCAGAAGGGUGUCUUGCUUUAAUCACCCUCAGCACCAAGGAAGUGCCCUUGAAUCCUGGCCUUGGGCUUGCUUUGGGCUCAGCUCCACUCCAGAGGCUGCACUUGAAGUGUGUAAGUAGAAAGGUGUCCUCUGGGCAGUUUAUUUCAACUAUGAGUCAACUUCUCUGUAUUUUUGCAAAUAUUUGCAUUCAGGGCCGAGUUAAAAUGUGUAUACUGAAGUUGCAAAGACUAAUAAGGCAAAGUCCCAGGUCCAAGG
rnacentral:lncRNA from 1 species